CGACAACUUCAAAGUGAUGAAAGAUGCUCUAAUAGUAGAGUUAUCAUAUAUAUCUUAUGUAUGUACCACGGCAGAUAGUUGGACACAUAACAGAAGAGCUUAUUUGGGAAUCACAGGCCAUUGGUUAGACCCUAGGACUUUAAAAAGAAGAUCUGUAGCCUUAGCCCUUAAAAGGAUUAUAGGAUGCCAGACAUAUGACGUACUUGCAAAUAAAAUUAUUGACAUCCACAAGUCUUUUAGGAUUCAUAAUAAAGUUUGCAAGAUGGUUACUGAUAAUGGGUCUAACUACCUGAAGGCAUUUAGGCUAAUGGCGAAGCUGAAUAAUCUUACUCCAACAAACAGAGAUUGCCGAGUAUCUAGCACGAAGACAUCCUCAAAUAAUUUUUUUGAAAUUAAAGAUGAUUUAAUAGAAAAUCCAAUUGAUCUUUUUUUUCAAUCAAAAUAUAUUGAGAUGAAUAUUUUUGAUAAUUUUUCAUAUAUUAAAAAUUUAUAUAUGAAAUUUAAU